rnacentral:misc_RNA from 1 species
UUUAAUUUCGUGAAAUCACUUAUUUUCAAAUUUAAGUUUGUUUCCUGAAACUUAAGGGAAAGCGAGGAAAGACUUCUCACUGUGGCCAAUUUUAUUCAUAACUUUAUUAGCACCAGAAUGGGUGUAGUUGAACAUUUACUUGUACUCUCAGAUCGUGGUGUUUUUUUCAUUGUAUUUUAGUUAUUGCAUCUGUGUUUCGUCACACAUGUAUUCCUAUGUGUUUUGGUGCCUUUCUG